AUUUUGAUUUGAUCUGUGUUAUAGGAUAAUUGCAUUUGUAUUUCUUUGGUUAUCUCACUUCAAUUGAGACUCGAACUCAAAACAUCAUAGGUCCAGAAGCAAUUCUAAUUCCACUGAACUAAAACUUAUCAGUAUUUCACAUUCUUAAAUAUUUUUAAUAUUAAGGUCUAAUGCAUGUUCUUAAAUAUUAUUGUGUAAGUCAUACAAAAGUUUCAUGAUGUGCAAGGUAUUUUCUCUUUUAAUAAAAAAGAAAACACAUAUAGGAAGCAAAGUAUUUCCAUUACUUCUCUUCUUGUUUUUCCUUUUUGGUGAGGUUGGGUACUUGAUUGAGUUGGGGGAGGAUAAGAACAAUGAGGGAGCUUUUAUUCCAAGACAAACAAAAGCAUUAUUCCAAUCCAUACCAAUUAAGUUUGAUAUUAAUAGAAAAUAUGAUGAAAUAAGAAAAGCAUAACCCUCCAAGAUUGAAGAAAACUUAGAAUAGAUGUUAUUACCCUCCAGCAAGUCACCAAGAGGAU
rnacentral:misc_RNA from 1 species